GACGAACGCUGGCGGCGUGCUUAACACAUGCAAGUCGAACGGAAAGGCCCUGCUUUUGUGGGGUGCUCGAGUGGCGAACGGGUGAGUAACACGUGAGUAACCUGCCCUUGACUUUGGGAUAACUUCAGGAAACUGGGGCUAAUACCGGAUAGGAGCUCCUGCUGCAUGGUGGGGGUUGGAAAGUUUCGGCGGUUGGGGAUGGACUCGCGGCUUAUCAGCUUGUUGGUGGGGUAGUGGCUUACCAAGGCUUUGACGGGUAGCCGGCCUGAGAGGGUGACCGGGCACAUUGGGACUGAGAUGCGGGCCAGACGCCUACGGGAGGCAGCAGUGGGGAAUAGUGCGCAAUGGGCGGAAGCCUGAUGCAGCAACGCCGCGUGCGGGAUGACGGCCUUCGGGUUGUAAACCGCUUUCGCCUGUGACGAAGCGUGAGUGACGGUAAUGUGUAAAGAAGCAACGGCUAACUACGUG
rnacentral:rRNA from 1 species